UGCCAGGAGAAGGUGGCCAGGAAAUUUUUCGAGCUCGACCGCAGCUUCUUGGGAGAGGAGUCUGGAGAUGAGGCCGAUCCCUCUCCUGCCGCUACUGCCGUCGCAGCCCCCCUUCCAGGGACAUCGAGCUCCCCAACUCCUACCGCAGAGGUCUGAGACCUCCGACCUUGUAUUUUUCUUUUACUGUAAUUUUUUCUUUUCUUUUUGUCUUUAAGAAACAUUCAAUCAAUAAAGUUGAAUUUCUCAUUGUGGAUGGCUUCUCCUUUCUUCCUUCCCCC
rnacentral:lncRNA from 1 species